GAAAUUAGCACCAAUAGCCUUGCGUAAAUAUAUCUAGAGAUUAUUUGCUUUCAACAUCUUAUUAAAAUGAUAUUU